CAACCCUAACAUAAGCUUUCUUACCUUGAAUUUUUGGGCAGCGAAGCAAGGUCAUAUACUCCUCCAAAGUAGGGACUAAGUCUACCUCUCCAAAUGUGAAACAACUAUAGGCAGGGUUCCAAAACUAUACCAUAGCUCGGAAGUUUAUCUACCUUGAUGUCUAGCAAAUAGGAAAGAUCUCCAUAAUUCUGAUAAAAACGCUGUUUAGCCUCGUCAUCCCAUUGGGCCCAAAUGUCUCUCAACUCUUGAAACUCAUUCUGUGUCAAAUUAAUACGAGUGAAGUCCCAUAACUCUGAGGUAUACCCCUC
rnacentral:lncRNA from 1 species